UACGUAGGUGGCAAGCGUUGUCCGGAUUUAUUGGGUUUAAAGGGUGCGUAGGCGGCUUUGUAAGUCAGUGGUGAAAUAUGGCAGCUCAACUGUCAGGGUGACAUUGAUACUGCAGAGCUUGAGUACAGAUGAGGUAGGCGGAAUUGACGGUGUAGCGGUGAAAUGCUUAGAUAUCGUCAAGAACACCGAUAGCGAAGGCAGCUUACUGGGCUGUAACUGACGCUGAGGCGCGAAAGCUAGGGGAGCAAACGGG
rnacentral:rRNA from 1 species